UUGAGGUGGAGGAGAAACCUAAACGAGAUAAAUUGCCUACCUAACAGCAUUACAAAAGAUGCUUGAGGAAUACCAAAGGAUAUAAAAAGCCCAAACCCUAACACUGCAAAGGAACUAAAUGCUGGCUUCUAUACCUCUGAAUCUUGUCCUUAAAGUGCUUAAUAAAGUAAAAUAUUUUCUAUUCUUUUCUGGGUACCAGGGGAGAAAAUUGCACAUACUGCAGAAGUAUCAGGUGAAGCCAAUGAUAAAUCAACUAGGAUAUUGCUUAUCAUGCUUUAAUAUCAGCAAUAAUAAGACACAGUGUGAGGCAUGACUUAAGCAUCAUUAUGGGCUUUCAUCAAGCCGAGAUUUUUCCUAAGACAUUUUGGGUCUGCUUCCUGGUCCAUGAACACGUGCUUGGUGUGCAGGUGCUAAAUGCUUCUUAGCAACUCACACAGGAAGUCAGCUGGGGAACUGAAUGCCCGAUGGAGGUGAGCAACCACAAGGUUGCACCCAGUGUGUCAUGUGAUCUCGAGAGAGAGCAAGAUUCACAUCAAACAUUGGGUCUACUUGUGAGCAGAGCUGAGACCUGGGUGAUAAUUGUAGGAGUUUACUGGGCCAGCAACAAGGGGGAAUCUUCCAGCAGGAGGUAGAUGGAGAGAGAAAUAAACCUGAAAAAAAAUAGGUAAAUGCUUCAAGGAACAAAAGGGCCCUAACCAAAAAAAAGGUCAGAGAUUUUCUUUAAGCCAUUCCUACUCAUGUGCAUACUUUGUAACUGACAAUCACCAAAAGUAUGAUGUGACUUGUGGGUCCCAUGGUAGCCAUUGCUGUACCUCUUACUUCUUACUUCUGUUGGUACCAGCAGCUCCUAGUUCUCACCUCCUGCCUUCAAUCUUGAUUUGUACUUGCUGACUCCCAUUGGUUUCCCUAUUCCUACCUCCAUGCUGCUUGCUGAUCAAGUGUGAGCCUCUCUAACUUGAUCUCCCCAAUUUUUGUCCCUUGAACACAGGAUACCCUACCUUUAUAUCGUCGGUUCCAGAGUCUGAAUCCCCAUUAGUGAGAGGAGAAGGGUGGCAGGCCUGGAAGCUGCAACCUGCAGAACGUGUGAGCAUGCGCAAGAAGGGGAUUCAAUAACAGAGUGCCAUGUUGCUGCUGUCUAGGAGCUUUGUGGACAUAUCUGAUGGACUAAAGACCGAAGUCCCCACAGAGAAGAGGCGAUAAUGGGAAACCUACAGAAAGAAGUGUCCACAAGUGAGGAACAACCAUGACAGGGGGUCCAGAGGAAGGAAGACUGAGACUGUAGUAGAUGGAAAGAAAACCCAUAGAACAGCUGAACUGAAGAUUUCCAAACUGAGGAGAUAUUUUUAUGGGGUGGCCUCUCCUAAUCUCUCAGGCUCCCAAAAUAGAACCAGGUCUUGUCCGCAUCGUGGGGCAAGCUUAAUGAUGAUCACAGAUGUCGUGUCCAUGUGUAUAAAAUUUGUCUUCUGCCUUGUUAUAAAAUGUAUAUUACAUAAAAUCUAAUUUUUGCUAUCCUGAGAGUCUAUUUCAAAGGCACAAAGUACAUUUUCAUCCCUGUGUAACUAUCCCCACCCCAUCUAUCUGCAGAUCUUCUCAGAUUAAGUCACUAACUACCUGUGCUCCUCUCUGCAGCCACUGGAAACUAUCGUCCUGCUUUCUGUCUCUAAGAAUUUGCCUUCUCUGGGUUCUGCAUC